GGAAAGGGGAUGUGAUAUUUUGAAUUUGCUUCCAAAUAUUCCAGCAAAAAGAAAUAGAUAAAUAAAUUCAUUUUACAAGAAUGGGGAUGGAAGAGAUCAGAUUAUCACAGUGUAUGAAAAUGGUCGAGAUUGUGUGGUAGGAUAUAGGUGCUUAUAUUUGAAGAUGCUCCUGUCAAUCACCAAUGUUGAACCCAAAUCAGCAACAUUCUUAUAAAAAUAGCACUAAUAAUGCUUGUUUGCUUUUAAGAUUUCACUAAGCACUUGAGUUUGGAAGGAUUAUAGAAAAUGAUCUUGAAUCCAGCUUUACCUUUUACCUUUGCUCUUUUCUUCUUAUCUGCCUCCUUAAAGAAAUUGAGGAAGUGCUAAAGGGGACAGGGAAUGCAGGUGUCCCCAUGGAAACAGGGAGGAAGAUGGAGGCGUUCAGAGCUUGGGCUCAGGGUCCUUGCCAAGGUGCCCAGGCUGGCUUCAAACUUGAAAUCCUCCUGCCUCCGCUCCUGAAAUAGCUGGAAUUAUAGACAUGUGCUACUGUGUCCACCUUUUCUCCCCCAACACUUACAAUGACUAUUUUCUUAUCUCCUUGUUUCAGUUCCCAAAAGAGUCAUGGAAUCGGAGCUCCCACAGCACACUUUGUGAAACAAGGACAAACUUGAGUCUGCCCAGAUUUCUCCAAGGCUCUUUUGAGUGAAGCCAAGUAGCAUCGAUUCCUUUGUGAGGUCAUUUUUGGCAGAGUCUGCAGACUUGAUGUCAGCAAGUUUAGGAUCAUGAACACACAUUUAAUUUCAAGAUCACUGGAGCAGAAAUAGCUAUCAAAAGACUUCUGCAGGGUUCCAGGGACAAGCCAGCUUUCCCAUGUCCAUGGCAUAUGGCUUCAUAAGAUCUCUGCAAUUAUAUGUGGGCAACUUUCUUUCUAAUUCGGCUUGUGUGAUGAAAAGCUGACUAACACACCCGGGAUCUCAGUCGUGAGGUGGCAAGAAAUGAAUCCUGCCAACACCCAGGGAGAUUGGAAGAGGAUCCCAGAACCUCUGAUGUGAUCACAGCUCCAGGUGCCACCUUGAUUUUUAACCUGUGGAACCCUGAGGAAAGGACUCAGAAUGUUGGAUCUGGACUCCUGCAUGAUAGAAACUGUGACAUAAAAAGUAGAGAAGUGAAAUAUUCAGGUCUAUUUGGUGUCUGAGCAGUUGUUGGGAAGAGCAGAAGAAAAGAAAAAGAUCUCAAUGUGUGCAAGAUAAGCUGCUUUUUUUGCUUGGGUCAACUCCAAUGAUCAAGACCUCUAAGCUCUUUACUAAAGAAGCAAUUAACUUCAUCAAUAAAUAUUUAUUUGUGCUGUUGGCAGUUUGGCAGAGCUAAUUCACCCUUGGGAUAAUUCAGCAUCCAUGUUCCUGAUUCUUGCCAUUAUGUCCCUAAAUUGGCCAACUGCCAUCGCCAUUGUUUCGAAAUUACUUAGAACGGGAACUUAAGGCAAUUGCCACACUGUCCUUUUAUUCUGUCGCACGAAAUAAUUUUCCAAAUUAAUCAUAUCGCUAAGUCUCUCUCCAGAGCUAAUGGUCUGAAAUCUGAAACCAGGGAACUGCUGGUGUGGUGAGAAAUAGUUUUCCUCACUUAAUUUGUCAGACUUCCAACUGCUCUUCUAUUCUCUAAGCAAAGUUGCAUCCAAAUGUCUGUUUCAGAAUACCAUUAUCAUUGAUUGAAGAUGUUGUUUCCCUGAGCCAGUCGACUAAGGAAGGCAUUCUAGAAGGCUCUGCCCUCUGUCUUAAUCCUUUUGGGCUUCUAAAACAAAACAAAGACUAGGCGGCUUACAAACAACAGAAAUUUAUUUCUCUCAGGGUCUGGAGGCUGGGAAGUUCAAGAUGAAGGCACCAAUUGAUCCAGUGCUCGGUUCAGAGCCUCUUGUUGUCUUCUCAUGGUGAGAGGGUCUCUUGACUCCCCCAUGAAGCCACAAAUUGCGUGCUUGGGGGCCCCACCCUUAGGACCUAGUACUUCCCCAAGCCCCAUCUCUCAGGCCAUCACAGUGGGUAUUAGACUUCAGCAAGUGAGUGUUACAGGGACACAACAUGCAAUCCAUGGCACCCUCCUCGUUUUUAAAUACGCACUUUUUAAACGGGCAAAAAAGUUGGGUCUCGCCUCUAUAAUUUCAUCUGGACUAAAUGUUUACUUAAUGUUGUUACAUGAAUCUCAACAUAGAAAGAAUAUUUUCUUACAUAACUGCAAUGCAUGACCACACAUAAUACAGCCAAGAAUGAUUCCUAGUCCAUCUAACACUAAGGCCAUGAUCAAAUUGCCCCUCUUGACUAAAAGAAAGCAAAAUUGGUGUACACAUAGCAAAAUUCAAACAAGUUCCACUCAUUGUAUUUGGCUGCUAAUAUAAUAUUUUCCCUGCCUUAAUCUUUAAUCUGAAAUAUUCUCUUCUUUCUUCUAUUUGUUUGUAGUUCACUGACUUCUUGAAGAAACCUGCUCAAAUGUCCUGUAAAAUGGCCCAUGUGGUAGAUGUUGCUGAAAAUAUAUUUUUUAAGAAAAAUGUGGAGCCAACUUUGGUGCCCUUCAACAGAUGAAUGGAUAAAGAAAAUGUGGUGUAUAUAGACAAUGGAGUAUUACUCAGCCAUAAAGAAGAAUGACUUUGUCAUUUACCAAUGAGUGGAUGGAUCUGGAGACUGUCAUGUUAAGUAAAAUAAGCCAAUCAAGAAAAACCAAAGGUCAAAUGUUUUCACUGAUAUGUAGAUGCUAACCCACAAUAAGGGGGACAGGGGAAAAUAGAUGUUCAAUGGAUUAGACAACAGGGAAUGAAGGGAAGAGAAGGGUGGGUAGGAAAUGGAAAGACGGUGGAGUGGUCUAACUUUCCUAUGUACAUAUAUGAAUACCCCACAGUGAAUCCCACCAUUGUGUACCUCCACAAGAAUAGGGUCAUAAUUAGAAUAAGACAUAUCUCAAAAUGGACUCUACUGUCAUGUGUAACUAAAAAGAGCCAAUAAAAAAAAUAAAGAAAAAGAAAACAAAUCGAACACUGCA